UACGGAAGGUCCGGGCGUUAUCCGGAUUUAUUGGGUUUAAAGGGAGCGUAGGCCGGCUUUUAAGUCAGCUGUGAAAGUCCGCGGCUCAACCGUGGAAUUGCAGUUGAAACUGGAGGCCUUGAGUGCACACAGGGAUGCCGGAAUUCAUGGUGUAGCGGUGAAAUGCUUAGAGAUCAUACAGAACACCGAUUGCGAAGGCAGCUUACCAAACUAUAUCUGACGUUGAGGCACGAAAGCGUGGGUAGCAAACAGG
rnacentral:rRNA from 1 species